rnacentral:misc_RNA from 1 species
GUGAAUCAUCAAAUUUUUGAACGCAAAUUGCACUUUCUGGUAUUCCGUAAAGUAUGCCUGUUUGAGGGUCAGUUAAAUAAAAAUCGGUUUUGUGGCUGCGUUUCGUGGUGAUGCGCCGUAAUUGGGUCGUCUUACUUUCGGUUAAGUGACUUAAAAUUUUUGUAUUAUUUUCGAACGUAUUUAAAUUGCUUACGUACGUUUGAGAUAUCGAAUGCUAGUCUGGUUUGG